rnacentral:misc_RNA from 1 species
GGGGAGCUCAUAGAACGCCGCGGCAAGGAGACCGUGCUGGCCGCCUUCGACGAGGUUAUCUCCUACACCGAGCGCCGUACCCGCGAGGUCGUCCGGGGGCUGCCCGACGG